AAUGUUGGAGAGCUCUGCGGGUCAAAGUUAUAUUAAUGCACAUUUGCUAUUGAAGUGCAAAUUGUUUGAGAUUCUGGAAUUGGUUACUCCUACCUAAUUUAUCUGUGCCGAUUUUCCUCCUUUUCAAAACCAUAACAUUGUGUUUAAAAGUCAUUCAUAGUUGAGUGUAAAUGUGUUUUUAUAGAGAUAUAUAACUUUAGAAAUGUCAGUGGCUGUAAUAAGAAAUGUUAUUUUCUUGGUAAAUAUACACAUCGCAGGUAUGGAGCAUUACACAUAUUAAAUUGCAAAUUACAUUAUGGUUUCAUGGUGCUUGACGAUACUCCAGUCCAGUGUAUAACAAACCCACGUAGUUUUCUUCUGUUCACUCACAUAACAAUCCCAUGCAGUCUUUUAUAUUAAAUGUAUGUCAAGCAAAAAAAUUUGCUCAGGUCCCACCAUUUCUCAGGGAUAAAACAAACUGCUAUUAUGGGCCAGACAUUGAUGGAUAAUGUACUGAAGAAGGCAACGCUGGCAAGACGUAACGAGAAAGAAAGCAAAAAAAAAAUCCCUGCCAACCCUCGACUAGCUUAGAGCUUUCCACUUACCAGAUGCGCUCGCACUUGUUAAUACCGCGGCACAAAAUUGCUUCUGUCAUUGCAGGACACAUGUACCGGGUACUUUUGAAUAAUGUACCUGGGUCACGUGUCACCUCCCAGAUGAAUCAUACGUCUGAUUACGAGCAGGAUGGAGCACUAAGCAAUCCUGAGAACUGUGAAUCAGAUGAGCACAGGUGCUGAUUUUCUCCAGACUAUAGAGAAUCUCUUCUUCGCUGCAGCCCGAGAUGGGUUACCCUGUUGUAGAAGACCCAAGGCGCACACUGUGGAUGCCUCUGGCGCGGGAGAUCAAGAUCAAGAUGUCAUCUUGGCCAAAGCCAUGGAUGGCCACCAGCGAGGAAGACUUUGGGUAAAUACUGACAUGGUAGCGUGAGUCGUGCAGAAUCAAAGAGGACUACAUUAGUGCAAACUCAUAUCCAAUCGGGUGUGGUAAUGAUGUGGUUCAUCUACUGCUCUAUGAAUCGUGCGAGUUAAGAUGCAUGUAUGUUGAAUUUAUUACGCACCGUACGUAGCCCAACCGUUUGAACACAUGUGUAGGAUGCCCCCCGGUAAACUCCCCCUGGAACUCUACCGGGCACGCCCCACUGGUCGAAGGCCCCAAGGCCGGCCCAGGACACGCUCGUGGGACUAUGUCGCUCGGCUGGCCUGUGAACGCCUGGAAAGGGAGGUCUGGCCCGCCCUACUCAACAUGCUGCCCCCGCGACCCUCACCUGGACAAGCAGAUUGAGAAACGAACGAACGGAGCCAACUGUGCAGAUCAGUUCCUAUCCAAGGUUAGUUUUAGUGGUGAUAUCUGAACUCGUCCUGGUUUCUGCACUUCAGCAAGCGUGCACUGACCAGAGUGGUGAAGUAUGGUCACACAACCCCCUUGAAUGACGCGGCAUGGGGAAUGCCUUUAUUAAGCUGUGGAUUGACAAAUAGCUGUACAGUAUAAUUAUUGUUACUAUUAUUAUUCAUAGCUCAUAGACUUGUAUACUGCUGAGACACAGGCAAUAUGUCAAGUGAAUGAGGGAAUACCAUAUCUGGAUUAUGUUUCACAGAAUCAGGCAGUAACAACAUUGUGAAGUCAACACAGUUCAAACAGAACUAAAUACAUAUUUGUUUUAUGUCCUACAAAUAGUCAGAUAAAUGACCUACCACUGCUGCACGAAAAAAAAAGACAAUAAAGAGUUGAUGGAUAUAAACAGCAUGUCUGUAAUUUUAGUACUUGCAAGCAUUCCACAAGGAAGCUUGAGCGCGGCAGUGAAGCCAUGUUGUGUUAUGGCUAACAUAUUUAAUGUGAAUUGAAUGAAAAACUAUAAAUCAUUUAAUAAAUUAAAUUGGACGAGUGCCAUUUGGAAAUUCUGGCAUGACACAUUAGACUCCUGGGUUGGAUUUCAGGUCACUAUGAAGUUUCAUUUGCAGCAAAUCUAUAAAGAGAAAUCAAUAUUUUUGUUUUCAAGAGCAUGCUGUAGCAGAUAACUAUUAAAACGUUGUGAAAUUAAUUGUGGUGGCAAAUACGUUAAAACCACAUAUUAAAACAAAUCGUCAAAUCAAUAUAUAUCUUAAUAAAUAACUACAUUGUUAUCUUGACGAAGGGUUGUCAGGCCUUGAUUUUCAUCCUCAAUGUGAUUCAACAUUCCUGGUUCAACUGGUGUUUUUUUAAUGGCUUCUCAGUGCAAACUGAUGGUGGCUCGCAAUCAGAAGGUUGCACACUUAAAUAUUGGUUGGGUUUGGCUCAGGCCACAAUCUCUCCAGGGUUGACAUAUGUAUCCCUUUGUGGGGGAGUCAACAGUGGGCGUCCUAUGGAUAGCCUGUCUCCGGGCAAGAGAAUGUCGAAUUUCCACCACUGUCUCAGGGCUGUAAAUGGGUAAUGAGCACCAUCUCAUUGUUGAUUUGAGCAGGAAACCACUUUUAUGUAUUUCCUUCUCAAUGGGAAUGGAAUGUUGGAACAGUAGUAUCCCAAACUUUUAAUUGAGUCACAGGCAAUAAGCAAAAUGGAAUCAGCGUAUACUCUUUUUGUCACUACAGCAGUAACAAAUUAUGCUUGUGAGUGGAGAGCAUAAAUGAGUGUAGAAUUUGAGCGUAGAACGUAUGUUGAACUUAUUUCGCACCGUAGGUAGCCAAGAGUGCUAAUCGGAGGUGUGAACAUACAUUAGCUACACAUAAAACCUGGUUUAUGCAGCACCAUUAGUGAUUCUUACUCGGAUGUCCGAAAAUCACCUGAAGACUAUCACUGUGAAAAGAUAAACACCACGACCAUGCUAUGUUUUAUUGCCAUGCAUUAGAGUAAGUCUAUGCAGAACUUGGCACACUUUGUUUCAGCGCAUUCAUAUGGGUAAUUAAGGUCUUCUGACCAAUAAUAUUGUGGUGACACAUUCAUCACAUAUGCAAGCAAUUUUUAUACUGCAGAGCCUAGGUUAUGAGGCUGAAGAAUGGCCUGAGGGUUGCAAUAAUAUGCGAUUUUUGUGUCAUGCCUGUAUCCACAAUCAUACUCUUGCAGCCUAAUUGCACUGCCAUGAUGCAAUUACAGGCUCAGCCGUGAAUCAAGUGCUGGGAAUUCAAAGUCAAUUCACACCCUUGGUCCGAAUUUGCCAUAAAUUCCCUACAGUUCCAGCGGAAGGAUAGAUCCAAUGAUAAUGAUGCUGUGGUUACUUUAAAAAUGCUAAAUUUCAAGAGGUGACUAGGUGGCUCUGGGGGAUAAUGUCCUUGUCAAGGUACUGGGUCAAAACCGCUGACAUCAUGUGUUCAAACCCCAGGUACCACUUGGGGUGAUAAUUGGAUUUAUAUGCAGUGCGUUUGACAACCUCAGCCCGAUUCACCAAUUACAUAUCCACACAAUAUGACGUGAGACAUCUUACACUUCGGAUUUUGAUUGUAUUUUCCCAUGUGUAGCUAUGACCACUAAUCAAACAAAACGACCUACUGCAUAUGAUGAGACGCCAUAUAUCGAAACUGGUCCGGAAUGUGCUUGUAUCGAAUCAAUGGUGCUGAAGUUAUGCAUUUAAAGAAGACCAAGGGGACGACGGGUUGUGUAAGAAAUGCUUUAAAUUGUGAAGUAGGCAUAUUUCUGAUGAUCUAUUGUGUUGUUUAUAUUCUUCAAAUACGACGCUCGUGAUUCCUUAGAGUGGUGUGCAUUGAGCAGAUUUCUACUCUGCAGGUAUUUGUUUUUGUUGAUAGAAAAUUUAUGUGGUGCCUCAUUGUUGCGGAUCAUUCAUGAGCAUUUUUAAUUCGCAUGCGUCACUGCUCAGUAUGGAGUCUUGAUGAUUGAAGAGCAACAUCACUCUUUAACAGAUGCCGGUUGGAAAAUAAGACUGAACAUAUUUAAGUAUCAACUGAAUUGGUUAUACUAUGUUUAACAAAAAUGUGUCAAUAUGUUCUUGAGUUUUUUGUUUUUUUUUGUUUUUAUACUUAAGUGUCAAACAUGGCUUUCCAUUCCAUCCACUGAAGAAAAAUUUGCAUGGAUUUUUGUUAUGGUUUUGAUUGAAUUAAUUUCUGUCAGAAAUGUAAAAACAUGCUGUGAAUAAACUUGAUGUGAAGCUGUGAAUGUUUAGGUAGUACUGGUGAUUUUAAUUAAUUUAGCGGGCAGUAACCGGCUUUGGCCGGGUCAAAAAGUAAUUUCAAACCUCCUCUUAAAAAUCUAACAGCAGUGCAUACUGACUGUGGUGGUACAUGCUAUGAUUACAG